rnacentral:rRNA from 1 species
AAAGUUGAUCAUGGCUCACUUGGACGUUAGCGGCAAGAGCCUAACACAUGCAAGUCGAACGGUAACAGGAAGCAGCUUGCUGCUUCGCUGACGAGUGGCGGACGGGUGAGUAAUGUCUGGGAAACUGCCUGAUGGAGGGGGAUAACUACUGGAAACGGUAGCUAAUACCGCAUAACGUCGCAAGACCAAAGAGGGGGACCUUCGGGCCUCUUGCCAUCGGAUGUGCCCAGAUGGGAUUAGCUGGUAGGUGGGGUAACGGCUCACCUAGGCGACGAUCCCUAGCUGGUCUGAGAGGAUGACCAGCCGCACUGGAACAGAGACACGGUCCAGACUCCUACGGGAGGCAGCAGUGGGGAAUAUUGCACAAUGGGCGCAAGCCUGAUGCAGCCAUGCCGCGUGUAUGAAGAAGGCCUUCGGGUUGUAAAGUACUUUCAGCGGGGAGGAAGGCGAUAAGGUUAAUAACCUUGUCGAUUUGACGUUACCCGCAGAAGAAAGCACCGGCUAACUCCGUGCCANCAAGCCGGCGGUAAUCACCGGAGGGUGCAAGACGUUUAAAUCGGAAUCACCUCGGGCGUAAAGCGCACGCAAGGACGGGCCUGUCCCAAGUCCGGAUGUGAAAAUCCCGAGGGACUUCAAACCUGGGGAAC